rnacentral:ncRNA from 1 species
UAUCUGGUUGAUCCUGCCAGUAGUCAUAUGCUUGUCUCAAAGAUUAAGCCAUGCAUGUCUAAGUAUAAGCACUCGUACUGUGAAACUGCGAAUGGCUCAUUAAAUCAGUUAUCGUUUAUUUGAUUGUACCUUUACUACUUGGAUAACCGUGGUAAUUCUAGAGCUAAUACAUGCGAAAAGUCCCGACUUCUGGAAGGGAUGUAUUUAUUAGAUUCAAAACCAAUGCGGGUUCUGCCCGGUCGUUUGGUGAUUCAUAGUAACUGUUCGAAUCGCAGGGCCUCGCGCCGGCGAUGUUUCAUUCAAAUUUCUGCCCUAUCAACUGUCGAUGGUAAGGUAUUGGCUUACCAUGGUUACAACGGGUGACGGAGAAUUAGGGUU